UACGGAAGGCAGCAGUGGGGAAUAUUGCACAAUGGGCGCAAGCCUGAUGCAGCCAUGCCGCGUGUAUGAAGAAGGCCUUCGGGUUGUAAAGUACUUUCAGUCGUGAGGAAGGUGUUAAGGUUAAUAACCUUAGCAAUUGACGUUAGCGACAGAAGAAGCACCGGCUAACUCCGUGCCAGCAGCCGCGGUAAUACGGAGGGUGCGAGCGUUAAUCGGAAUUACUGGGUGUAAAGGGCACGCAGGCGGUUAAUUAAGUUGGAUGUGAAAUCCCCGGGCUUAACCUGGGAAUGGCAUUCAAGACUGGUUAGCUAGAGUCUUGUAGAGGGGGUAGAAUUCCAUGUGUAGCGGUGAAAUGCGUAGAGAUGUGGAGGAAUACCGGUGGCGAAGGCGGCCCCUGGGACAAAGACUGACGCUCAUGUGCGAAAGCGUGGGGAGCAAACAGGAUUAGAUACC
rnacentral:rRNA from 1 species